rnacentral:lncRNA from 1 species
GGUGGAUUUGUGCCUUCCAUUUCCUCUUCCGGUUGACAAUGUAGACCGAGCAUUAUCUCUCUGUGUUCGAGCUGCGUCUUUAUAGUUCCUUUGAGAAACCACACACUUGCUAUCAUCUUGUGCAGAUUUAUCAGUGUAGGUUACACUGUGAUUGAACUGCUCGGUUCUUACAUCCUGAGAUGGAUUGUCACUGGUGCUAGCAGUGAAAGUCCUUUCACUGCCAUAUUCUGUACUCUCCCUGGCACAUAAAUCUUUCCUGCAUCAUUGUUUUGAAGGAAAUCAAGUCACAUUCAAAUAUAUAUAUCCGCUGAUGAAAACAAAUAGUGCAGAAGUGACCAUUUUUUUUUUAGUUCAAGAGAGUAGAAUUACAAGGAAUUAUAAGACAAACUUAUUGGUUAAAUAACCGGUUAAUGACUGGGUUUAGAAUAUAAUUGAUUCUAAUUUCAUUUUUUUAACCCCUUAAUUUGCUUCUUAAUCAAAUAGAGAGGAAGCUGUGCCUUCUGCCAGAGAAAGAUAGCCAUUGACAUGCUAAGCUAAGUUACAGGUCAAGCCAAGUUAGGAUCAUCAAGUAAGAAAUGAAAGCAACAAGAAAUAAGUAAAACCAACUGCUAAAACUCUAAACAAUUAACAAAAUGUUAAAAAUAUAGCUAAAAUUAAUGCAUCCUAACUUUUCUUUUUCUUUUUUUAAUUAUUUUUCUUAUGUUAUUAUUAGCCAUAAUCUAGAAUAAGUACGCUUCCUUGAGGUAUUUAAUGUUCAGGUUGUUACUAAAAUUUACCUAAAAAUUAAUUAUCAGGCAACAAAUCUAAUUAGGGAACAUAAUCAACAAUCUCAAAUAAUAAAAAUCUCUACUUUAACACCAAAUACUAAAAAAUACACUGACCUUGAAUUGAAAUUUGGAGCCACCUCCGUAGACACAGCUUUUUCCCACAGAUUCUGCACAUCCUCAGGAAGAAGAUGCUUCAAAUCAUCAAAGUUUAGGAAAAAAUCACAAUCAAAGCCUGGACAAGGAACAGUGCCGAAACCCUCUUUGAUCUUUGCCUCCAAGUACUUGCUUAUACAGUAAUCGGAACAAAAACAGUGACCACAUUCCCCAUUCUUGAUUAGUUUCUCAUUUUCUAUCAUUUCCGUGCAAAUCACACAAAAACUGAGGGAUGAUUCAGAUUCACCUAUAUUUUUCACAUAUGGUGAUGGAUUCGGCAACUCUGAAGUGAAAAGAGAAGCCUGUAGAGCUUCUUGGAGCUGCAAUUCUUCAGCCAUUGCAGCAUCCGAUAAAAGCAUGAUUCGAAACUCAUCACCUCCAUUGUUGUUAAAGAAAGCUGGGUGAUGAGCUUCAUUGUUUGCAGGAAGAAGAUCAAAGGUCUGUGGUAUUGCCAUUUUAGAAAAUCUUCGUUGACUGUAAAUUAGUGGGUCUUCUACUCUUCUCUGUGUGAUAUGAACUCUUUACGUGCUUUAUAGUUUAGAAAACUUGGCUUGGAAGUUGUCUUUUCUUUUUUCCCUGUUCAGCAACUUCUCUGUAAUUAGUCCUUUUUGACUGAACAUUGAAUUGCUUUUUCUCUGUCCAUGUAGGCCAUUUCUGUAAUCUUUUUAAAUUAUUAUUUUGAUCGACUAAUAAAUAAAAUAAAAAAUUAUUAUUAAAAAGAAAUUUUUAAUCGCAUUGAUCAUAUUGACUUCUUUAAUCUUUAAAAAUCUUUGGCCGUAGAGUUUGUUAUUACUAUAAGUUAAAAUUUUUUUUCUAUAUCGGUAAUAUAUUAUUUUUUUCAUUUUCUUUCAAUCAUCAAGUUUCAUUUUUACGUUCCAUUUCAAUAAUUUUGUUUUUACAAUAAAUUCAACAAAAACGAGCACUUAUAAGGGGUAAUCUAUAUGUAUACACAUAAAUAUCCAAAUGCCCUUUCAUUCUUCAAUUAACGUCUCUCAUCUCUCUCUCUCUCUCUCUCAGUUUCUAGGAGUGGCAUAAGGGUAGCUUCCAUUAUUUCUCAUCAAUGCAGAAGAAGGGAAUCUGCGGUAUCUGCAACUGACGUUUCAAUGGCAGAGCCAUGGGAGGCCACAUGAAAUCUCACUCAGCUAAACAAUUGUUACCUCCAAAACUCAUUCCAACCCGCCAACAAAACCCAUCAUCCUCUGCUUCUCCUUCUAAUUAUCCUUCAAGUGAUCAAAACCCCAUGCAAAUGCAAUCCUCUCGAUCCACCAACCAAGAACUCCCUUUGAUAUCAAAACCUAAUCUUGCUAACGGUGGAGUAAGUGACACCGAUUUGUCACCAAGGAAUGACCCAAUUCGGAGACGAUCUAAAAGGCAGCGCAUAUCCGCCGAGAAAGUAACUGAAUCGGUCGUGAAAUCCGCCCAGUCACCAAAUUAUGUAAUUUAUAUAUCUUCUUCAAGCUAUGUGUCGCGGAGAAUAAUAAAACAAGCAUUAUAUGAUCAUGAAAGAAAUAGAUUCAGAUUUCUCCUUUGAGAUUUCCUUAAAUUUAAUAUAUAAAAGAUUCAUAUUUUUCCAUUGAGAUUUCCUUAAAUUUGAUAUGGAAAAAUAAUAAUUUAUCUCGAGAUUUUAUAAAAUUAAUUAAUUCAUCUUUUUAUUUUUAUAUAUUAAAUAUUUAGUCUAUUUUAUUUUUGCAUUUAGGUAUUUAAUCUCUGAAAUCUGAUUUCGUCGCAUUAAACUAUCUUUCCGUCCAAUUUUGAUGAGCUUCGCCGUUAAAUGGAUAAUAAAAGACUAAAAUACCCUUUGAAAAGUCAAAAAUUAAAGCCACCAUUCCUCUUCUUCUCCUUCAUCUCCUCAAAUCUCUAUUUCUGCUGUUAUACAAACUCAUUAAAUAAAGAAAUAUAUUAACCAACCAUUAAAUUUAUACUGUAUCUCACUUUGAGAGCAUUACAAAUCAUAAAAACAAAAAAAUCAUUUAAAAAAUCUGCCCUUCUUCUCCAACCACUUCUUCAUUCUCCAGAACUUGUACUGUGUUUUUUUUUUUUGGUGUAUUUGUGAGCUGGAUGAAGUAGUUUUCCGCCAUUCAUUUCUCUAACAACUUGGACAAUAAUCGGCAGAAUACAUACAAAGUAAAGCCCCUAAUAAACCAAAAAUGCAAGACCUCAAAUUUGAAAUUAACUUUAAAAAUCAAAACCCCUUUUUUUUUUUUUCUUUUUCUUACAUUAGCAGUGUCAUUUAAUAUCUUAAAACAAAGCUUUGGCCAUAACUACAGCAAAAUAAAAUACAGGCAAAUCAAAAUCUAUUACAAUCCAACCGUCAGUUAAUGACAUAGCCAUGGCUGCUCUUCGACUAGGAGUAGUGGUAUCUCCAAGCUUCUCCAGUCCUAUCCUCAAAAUACAAAAUUAGCAACACCUUCUCGGUGGUGGACGACGGAGUAAAUAUGGGCUGUGGCGGUGAGAGAAGGAAGACAAUAGAGAAGAGGAAAAUGGGUAAGGAACAAAGUUGAAGAGUACCGUUUUUCAUUUUAAAAUAUCUCUCUCUCCUCUCUUUCCCCUUUUACCUUCAUUUAAUAGAAAAAAUCAUUUUAUUUUGGACGCAACGAUCGUUUCAUGUGACGAAACCAAAUUUUAGGAAUUAAAUAUUAAAUAUAUAAAAAUAUAUAAUAUAUAAAAAUACGAAAAUGAAUUAAUUAAUUUUGUAAAAGUUCAAUGAAGAAAGAGUUGUUUUCCUUUUGAUAUAUAUAAUAACUGUAUACCAAACCAAUUACAAAAUUCAAAUGAAAAUAUUUUUAAUUUGAAAUUUAUUAUCUAGAAAAAUUUUUUUUAUUAAAAAUGUCACUGUCUUAUUUUUUCUAGUGAAUGUUAAAAUAAUAUGCUAAAAUAUUGUUUAGAAUUAAUUUAGUAUAUAAAUGGGCACGUAUAUUGGAUGCGAAUAAAUCUACCAAUUAUAAAUCAUACGCAAAAAAAAAAAAAAAAAUAAAACAUUAAUAUUAUUUCAAAAUAUAAUUUUAACCUAACAUAAAAUUUUCUAUUUGAGAAGCUAUUAAUUUUGGUUGGUCUUUUUAAUAAGAAAUUUUGGUUAAGCACGUGGUAGUUAUACGAAUUAGAAAUCAAGGAAAAGGAAAGGGGAAUGACUCCCUUUUUUUUUUUGGCAUUGUAUAAAUUCUUUUUUUAAUUUAAAUAUUCUUUAGGUGCAGAAUGUAAAAUAUACAUAAAGCAUAGAGCUUUUUUUAUCAAUUUGUCAAUUUAGAAGAUUUUGGCUUGGCUCCCUUCCUCACAAGCUGCAUCCAAGUUUCUUACACUAUGUUUGGAUUCACGAAAAACAUAGGAAAAUAGUAUAAUUUUUUUUUUCUUUCUCUUAUUUGGUUGUAAAUCAAUAAUAUGAUUUAUCAUAGUGAUUUAAUAAAAGUUCGAUGGACGGAAAACAAGAUACUUAUAUAUAUAUAAAAAAAGACAAUUUAUGAAUCAAAUUAAUUGUAUAUCUAAGAAAAAAAAGGUAUGAAUUCUUGUUGGAGAAAAAAAAAAAAAUAUAUAGUAUGAUUCUUGUGGUUUCCGAAAUACAAGUAGUCAGUUCUUGUCUUUUUUAAAAUACACUAAAGAAUCAUUACAUUUUACUUUUUCAGAUUAUAAGGUUCUUCCAUCCAAGUUUUGCAUCUAUUAAAUACCUUAUGAAAUGAUAAAAAUAUUCUUUUUAUUUUUAAAAAUACAGAGACAGGUUAGUUGUAUUUUUCAAACUAUAUGAACCAUACUAUAAUUUUGUGAUAUAGUAUUUUAAUAUCUCUCAUUUAACCUCUGUAUUUUUUUAUUAACUUAAAUGAAAAGAUGUAAAAAUUGAACAAAAUGAUCUAAUAGUAUAAUAAAGUAGAAUAUGAAAAAAUUAAUAUAUUUUAAAAAAAUAAAGAUAGACUAAUUAUAUUUCGCAAACCAUAAAUAUCGUAUUGUAUUUUUUUUUUUUUCAAAACAUAUUGAAUGAAAUCUUAUAUUGAAAUCUUCUCUCUUCCUUUUUUUUUCAAAAAAAAAAAAAAAAACAUUAUUAUUAUUAUUAUUUUUUUAAAAUUUUUCUAGGCGUGAUGGUAGAUCUUGUUGUUUCCUCAGUCCACACGAUGGCCGUCCGCUUUGACCAUAUUUCGGAUCUGACGAAGAAUAUUUGAGUCUAACCUAACAGGAAGAAUGCAGGUUGGAGUUGAAGAAUUUGACGUGACUUCCAACACCACAGUAAAAGCCGUUAGGCAUGAAAUAUGAAAGAAUAGCGUUGGCAUAGUUUGUUAUAGUUAUUUAUUUUUAGUUUUUUAUUUAUUAAAAACAUGAAGUAAUUUUUAGUUUUUGAUUAUUUAUCUUUUUCAACUGUUUUUUUAAUUAAUUUAUUUAUUUUAUUCAUGAUAUGAAGAAUUUUUUUCAUUAUCAAAUCUCUUCCGUUAAAAGAUUUUAAUUAAUAAUAAAAAUUUUAAAAAUUAUUUUGGGAUAAAAUAAUUAAAAUAUUUCAUAAUUUAAUUUUUAAAUAAAAAUAAUACUAAAUAGAUAAGAGAAAGAAAAAUAUAUAAUUUGAAUAAAAAAUAAAACUAUCUUCUUGUAUUUUUUUGCAUAAAUAAAUGAUAUUAGAUUUGUAUAGAUAAUAAUAAUAAUAAUAAUAAUAAUAAUAAUAAUAAUAAUAAUAAUUUAAUUAGGAUAAAUCUUAUAAAAAAUAAAAAAUAAAAGAAUGUAGAAUUAAGAACAAAAACAUAAUUACAUAAACCACUAUUUGUGGUUUCAUCAAAUUUAUUUUUUAUUUUAAAAACGGUUUUAUUAAAGGUAAAAAAAAAUUAAAUAAGUUUAAACAAACAAGUUUUAUUUAUUUUUUAAGAAAAAAAUAAAAAAACAAAAACCUUAAAUGAAAACAAACCAACAACUCAGGCCUCGAUUGUUAUAGUUGUUUGUUUUGAGUUUUUUUAUCUAUUAGAAAUAUAAAACAGUUUUUAGUUUUUGAUUAUUUAUUUUUUGAAAACUAUUUUUUUUUCUAAAUUUUUUUUUUAUUCACAAUGUGAAAAAUUAUUUCAAUUAUCAAAUCUCUCUUAUUAAGUCAUUCAAAAUUUUACUUAAUAAUAAAUUUUCAAAAUUUCAUGUGAAAUAAUUAAUAUAUUUUAUAAUUUAAUUUUAAAAUUUCAAUUUUACAGUAACUAUUGAUUAUUAUGUUGAAUAAAAACAUAAUACCCAAAUAUUAUAAUAAAUAAAUAAUACUAAAUGACAAUAGAUUUAUAUAUAGAGAGAAAAUAAUAAUAAAUAUAAAAAUAAUACUAAAUAGAGCAGAGAUAGAAAAAAAAAAGUUGAGAAUUUGAAUAGAGAUAAAAAUAUAUACUUGUAUAUUUUGGAUAAAUAAAAUGACAUUAUACUUAUAUAGAUAGAGAAAAUAAGAGUAAUAAUAACACCGAUAACAAUAAUUUUAUCUGGAUAAAUCUUAUAAAAAUGAAAAAAAAUAAGAAAUAUAAAAUUAAAAACAGAAAACACAAUUUUGUAAACUAAACAAAAAAAAAAUUAAACAAAUUUAUUUUUGUUUUCAAAACAGUUAUCUCAUAAGUAAAGAAAAAAAAAAAAAAGCAAAUUUCAACAAACAUGUUUUAUUUAUUUUUUAAAGAAAAAAAUGAAAAAUAAAAAAUUUAAUCAAAAACAAACAGCAGCUUGAUUUUUAAUUCUUUUAAUUUAAGGGAAAUUCAUAAAAUUAAAUAGAAAUUUUAACUUCUAAAUUUCCCAUGUGCAAGUUACGUUGUAAAAUCAGCCAACAAAGUCUUAGCUAGAGACUUUAAUUCUUUAUCUUUUUUUUUUUCUUUUUUCUUUUUUCUUUUUUUUUUAAAUCACUGAAUUAAGUCGCUGAUUUAUUGGCAAGAAUGUCUGAUUGGAUGGUAAAUGAAAUUUAUAUGUUUUUUUUUUUUUUUGUGAUCUUUUGUAUUAGGAAAAAUUAAAAUUAUUUUAUAAAAUUCUAGUCAAAUUACUAUACAAGAAUUAUCAUUUCAAAAACUAAUUAUGUGGUCCAUAAUUUAUUAUUUUGUUAACAUGUUAUUCUCUCCGUUCAAGGUAGAUUUUUACCGUUUUCACUGCCGAAUUAACCGAGAAAUUUAUACCUAAAUUAUAACCAAACUAAUUAUGAGAUUUUUAAUUUAUGAUUUUAUUAACAUUUUAGUAUUUCUGUUUUGAACGGAAUAGCUAAACUGUUAAUAGAGUUAUAAAUGAGACUUUAUAAUUAAUAACUUGUUAUUAAAAUAGGAGAACCAAAGCUCUCAACAUGGUGAGAGACAAAAAACUUUAAGCGUGAUCAAGAUGAUUUGGUCAUUGAUGAAUUUAUAUGGUGUUUUUAUUUUCAUAUAUGAUAUUGAAACCCAAACCGCUAACUGUCACUUAAAACAAUAAUUAAUAAAACACAAUUUUUACAUAUAUUAGUUUCACAUAUUAUGAAUUAAGCAGAGAAAAUAUGGAAUACAUUGUCCAAACAAUACGACAUCGUGUCAUUUUGAAACGUGCUUCCAAUUUGUUACUGGUAUUACUAGGACUUCCUCUUCUUGCCCAAUAACCCAAUUAACGGCAUUUUUCCCAAUAGCUUUUGCCUCAACUUCUCUAUGUACUCAUGGCGUUCUUCACUACCAGAAGCUGAAAUAAGUUGGCGUCACCGGCCUAAUCAUUGUUUCCUCCGUCAUAACGGGAGCUAUAUUUAUCAUUUCUUGUAUUACUGGCGAUUGAGAGCCCUCUGCCAUUCCUACAUUUUCCUUGUGUUGUUCUGUAAUUUCCUGAUUUCUGCAUCCAGAACUGAUGGACUAAAUUGAAAAGGACCUAAAAAAAUAGUAAUUUUCGAACACUAACUUUUAUUAAAAUACCUGUUUUCGCAAUAAUUUAUGCUUGGAAGAUUUGCAUUUGACUCCUCUAAAUUUUCUUGUUCUUCAUAUUUCUCCUGCUUUAUAUUCUCAAUAUCUCCAUCGUUUUCAUUUCUUCCUUCAAGAGUUGUUCCGAUUUGGUCCUUGUAGAAUUGUUCCAUAAAUUUGAUUAUGUCCUUGGCAAAAGUAGCAUGGAGAGUUGCUAAUUAGAGGUGAGCAUUAAUCGAUGUGGUGUAAAUUGAUUAUGUCCUUGGCAAAAAUUAAUUAUACCUCUUCCAUGCUCUGCUCAUGAUGCUGGUUUGCUUGAUGUCUCAGAUUAUCCAUCUCCUUGGUUAACAUUUUCAGCUUUUCCUUCAACAUGGAAUUGGAUUCUUCAAGCUCUUUAGUAUGCCUUUGCUGCUCAGAGACUCUGUUCUUUAACCACUGAAGCUGAUGAUUCUCUUCUGUCAUUUGCCUGAUUCCAUUCACCACCAUUUCUUGAUAUGAUCUCAUCUCAUAUUUCAGCUUAACCCUACCUAAUAAUCAAUUUCAAAAAGCUCAAUUGCAUAAUUUAUCAUAAUAAUUCAGGGCUAUAAACGAGCUGAUUCUAGCAAUUUACAAUUGAAAAGAUAAAAAAUUUGGCCUUUUACAGGCUCGAAUUGAGGUCAAACUCAUUUAUAAAGUAAGUAGGCUCAAGUUCGGCUCGUUAAACUCAUCGAUCAUGUUUUUCUCUGUGAAAUCUCGAGCAGAUCGGCUCGUCUAUAUCCCUACAUAACAUCAUCUGUUUCGGACUUUAUGUGAUUUUCAAUUUAAUCCAUUACCUCUAACAAAUUUUUUAUUGAAGAAAUCAACAUCUUCUUUUUUUGCCAUGUAACCAUAAAGUUGGUGCUGUUCAGCUGAAAAGUUAAAGAGCCGCCGGUUAAGGAAAUCAUCUCUGCCUAUUCCCUCGCUUACAAAAUGUCUACAUAGACGCUCUGCUUCUAAAUAACCCUUUACUGAGCUUUCAAAAAUUAAGAUGCUGAAUCCACUAUGUCUCUUGUUAGGGUGUUGAACUCUCACAAUACCCUCAUAUGAACUGAACAUUUCCAGCAGCUCUUCACUUGUCAUGCCAAUCCUCUACAAUUCCAUCAAAAUCCAAACAAGAGAUAAGUAAUUUAUAUCUAUUUGUGCAAAUAAUAAGAUUAGGAGUGGAUAAUCUCACCUUAUAAUUCUCAUCCUCUUUGUAGGUUGUAUUAGCAAUUACAACCAUAGGAGGCCAAACCAUCUCAAAAUCUAUGUUAUUAUUGCUUAAACCUUUGCAUUUUGGACUUGCUGCUUCUUGAAUUAUAGUUGCAGAAAUUGCCUGCUGAUCAUUAGAAUGCAACUUGUCUUCCAGCAAUUGUGCAAGCUCUCUGUGGAGCCUAAUCCUUGUAGACCCUUUGGUUUUAGCAUGCUGAAUGAGGGGCUGCAGGCCCAAGUACAGUUCAGUGGUAUCUCCACCUCUUUGACAUACUGGGCAGUGCCAUUGUCUGGCUUGGUUUUUUAUCUCUUCAAAGAUCAAACAUCCUAGCUCCUUAAGAAAUUUCUUGAACCACUUGCUCUUCUUGCAAGCCUCAACUUUUCUUGGACUUGCUUCAGAAUCGUAAUCGUCGGUAUCAGGUAAUUCAUCUGAAUCACUAUUAGCAGGUUUUUUGCCAUUCUCUGAAUUAGUCUUCAGAUGCAAUUCUUUGCUGUAUCAUUGUUUUACCAAUUGUUAAACUACUUUAUAAUUAAGCUUAACUAAUAACACAAAUACAACACCAACACCAUCAACAAACUAUUUAUUUUUAACCCAGAAAUUAAAUGUGCACUGACCUGCAAGUAAAAUCCAUGGACAUUGUCCUUUCCCACAAAUUGAGCACAUCCUUGGAGAGCAAAUGCUUAAAAGAAUCCAAUUCUAGAACAUAAUCACAAUUUAAGCCUGGACAAGUGACAAUAUUGAAUCCCUCUUUGAUCUUUGCCUCUAAAUGCUUGCUUAGACAAUAAUCCAAGCAAAAUGAGUGACCACAUUUCCCAUUCUUGAGAACCUUACCUUUUUCUUUCCUUUCUUUACAAAUUUCACAAAAACUCAUAGAUGAUUCACCUCUUUGUACUUUGAUCUCUUGAAGUGAUGGUAUUUGACAAGUGAGCAAAGAGGCCUUUAGACUUUCUUGAAACUGCAAUUCUUCUGCCAUUGCCGCAUCAGAUAGUAGCCAAAGCUCUUUUUUUUCAUUUUCCAUCAACAAAUUAUGAGAAGUGGGUAUCUUAUUUAGAGGAAGAAGAUUAAAGGAUUCAGGAGCUAUUUCUAUUCUGCAGAAAUUUUUGGCGGGUUCUUUUAUGCUUUGCCGUCUCUAUAAAUGAAGUAGCUUAUUAUAUAGUAACAGCUUCCAUUUAAAUUGCCUACCAAGAACUUCACUUGGAAGUUAUCCGGAUUCUACUUCUUUGAGGGGCUCAACUUCUUUCUACGGCUUUUCCACAGUAUCAUGUGUUUGUUUGACAUUUUGCAUCUCUUACCUAUGAAGGACCUUAACAUAUGCAUGGGGGAAUAUUUGUAUAUAUGAUUUGGGGACAAGAAUUACUUUCUCCUUUUUUAUUGAUUCAUGCUGAUGAAUUUUGUUUUAUUUUAUAUAUUAUACUAUAGAUUUUUAUACUGUUCCAUUACGUUGUCAUUUUUAGCCCCUAACAAGAGAUUGAAUUGGAUUUCUUUCUGUGUCUUUUCCUUGUCCUUGUCCAUCAAGAGACAAGGAAAAAUUUUUAUUUGACAGCAAAAUUUGUUCCCUUUGUCAUUCUAAAUGAUUUUUAAGUUUUGUUUUAACAAAUGUUGGGUUGCUUUCUUCAAUCCAACUCAGAUGAUAACAACUUCUAGUGGUCCAACUCUGAUAAAUUCAAAGUUUCUGUACACAUGAAAAUAUUUUCAGGAAACCCUAUUUAUAAAGCGUAGAUAUAGUUGUUAUCAUUCACCAGCUUGCUAUUGCUAACAGUCUAAUUUACUGGAUAGGCAGUCAAGUCUUCAAGUUAAUAAAUUUUAUUUAUUUUUUAUUCCUGGUCUCAUUCAAAAGCUAAAAAUCUAUUUGCCAGAGAAAUCGGAGUCUGAUUUAUGAUAACAUUCGAAUAGUUGAUGUUUAAUCAUAAGUACAAUUCGGGAUAAAUUUUUGUUUUCAAUACAUAUUAGGAUCAGGGAUCAAUAGUUGCUCCAUUCCUUUCACAAAAAUGUAGACUCGCUUGCAGAAUGUGAAAGGCAGAGGAGAGAAUUAUGCUCUGGGGCUACCUAAUAAUUCUCAUUAGUAUGGGGAUUGAAGCACCAAGAACUGGGAUGGCAAGAUCUUUCCAUGACAUCUCAAAACACAUGGACCGAUGAUCGCUAACUCCCCGCUUUUCCCGGGGUCUCCCAGCAAAUCUUGAACUUGCACUUGCUCUUUCCCUUGCAAUUUCAGGUUUCUUAAUCUCUUCUCGUUCUGGCAACCAAGGAAUCUCUGCUACUUCUUGUGUUUCAUUUUCAGUGUCUUGAAUGUUUAAUAACUCUUGUUCUUGCCCACUCUUUAUCUUGUCAAAAUCUCCAUCUUUGUCACUUCCUGAUUCAAGAUUUCUGAUUUUGUCCUUGUAAAAUUGCUCUUGAAAUUGCAUCUAAGAAAAGGCAUUAAUAUAAUCAGUCAUGACAUAUAACUAAUAUACCGCUUAAUUUCGUCUGUGGUUAGGUGACAGACAAGUACUGCAUUGUCUUCUAAAAUUCACCUAUAUUUAAGAGAGAAGAAAGGGGGGGNNNNNNNNNNNNNNNNNNNNNNNNNNNNNNNNNNNNNNNNNNNNNNNNNNNNNNNNNNNNNNNNNNNNNNNNNNNNNNNNNNNNNNNNNNNNNNNNNNNNNNNNNNNNNNNNNNNNNNNNNNNNNNNNNNNNNNNNNNNNNNNNNNNNNNNNNNNNNNNNNNNNNNNNNNNNNNNNNNNNNNNNNNNNNNNNNNNNNNNNNNNNNNNNNNNNNNNNNNNNNNNNNNNNNUAAUUAUUCUUUAAAGUUGCAUUUCAAAUAUAUAUUUUUAUAUGCAUACCUUUAAAGCCAUCCACAUCUUCUUUCAAUGCCAUGAAACCAUAAAGUUGGCGCUUUCCACUGGGUAGGAAAUAGACCCGCCGUGUAGGCCCGAUGAGUCCAAGCAUAUCUAUCUUUCCGUUCCUCUGCAAAAUGCUUAUGCAGGCGCUCUGCCUCUAAAUACCCCUUUGCUGAGCUCUCAAAAAUCAACAUACUUAACCCGCAAUGUCCUUGCCAAUUGUAAGAGUUUUGAGCCUUAACAAUGGCAUCAUAUGAGCUGAACAAGUCUAAUAGCUCUUGACUUGUCAUGCCAAUCCACUGAAAUCCACAAUUCCAUCAAAACAAGAGCCAACUAAUCAGCAGAACAUUAAAUCUAUCUUCAGAAGAAAGUAAAUAGCAUUCUAUUGUUAUAAAUAAUCUCACCUUGUUAUUCUCAUCUUUCUUAAGCCUUGUAUUUGCAAUUAGAACCAUAGGAGGCCAAACUAUCUCAUGAUCAUUCUUCUCAUCUUUUACACUUUCCCAUUUGCUACUACUUGCUUCACCUUCAGGAAUAUUAGCUGCAACUCUUUCUCUUUCAUCUCCUGAACAUUUCCGUGAACUAGAAGCAAAAGCAGUUUGCAUAUUCAGUCUCGGUCUCAUAAAUGGGCUCUCUGAAAAUCGUGGAACCGUGUUCUUGAUAAACUUGUAGGCUGAUUUGGGCCUUCCAUUUCCUCUUCCGGUUGACAAUGUAGACCGAGCAUCAUCUCUCUGUUUUCGAGCUGCCUCUUCAUAGUUCCUUUGAGAAACCACACACUUGCUAUCAUCGUGUGCAGAUUUAUCAGUGUAGGUUACACUGUGAUUGAACUGCUCAGUUCUUACAUCCUGUGAUGGAUUGUCACUGGUGUUAGCAGUGAAAGUCCUUUCACUGCCAUAUUCUGUACUCUCCCUGGCACAUAAAUCUUUCCUGCAUCAUUGUUUUGAAGGAAAUCAAGUCACAUUCAAAUAUAUAUAUCCGCUGAUGAAAACAAAUAGUGCAGAAGUGACCAUUUUUUUUAGUAAGGGGGUAGAAUUAAAAGAAAUUAUAAGACAAACUUAUUGGUUAAAUAACCAGUUAAUGACUGGGUUUAGAAUAUAAUUGCUUCUAAUUUUCAUUUUUUGAACCCCUUAAUUUGCUUCUUAAUCAAAUAGAGAGGAAGCUGUGCCUUCUGCCAGAGAAAGAUAGCCAUUGACAUGCUAAGCUAAGUUACAGGUCAAGCCAAGUUAGGAUCAACAAGUAAGAAAUGAAAGCAACAAGAAAUAAGUAAAACCAACUGCUAAAACUCUAAACAAUUAACAAAAUGUUAAAAAAAUAGCUAAAAUUAAUGCAUCCUAACUUUUCUUUUUCCUUUUUUUUUAAAAAUUAUUUUUCUUAUGUUGUUAUUAACCAUAAUCUAGAAUAAGUACGCGUCCUUGAGGUAUUUAAUGUUCAGGUUGUUACUAAAAUUUGCAUAAAAAUUAAUUAUCAGGCAUCAAAUCUAAUUAGGGAACAUAAUCAACAAUCUCAGAUAAUAAAAAUCUCUACUUUAACACCAAAUACUAAAAAAUACACUGACCUUGAACUGAAAUUUGGAGCCACCUCCAUAGACACAGCUUUUUCCCACAGAUUCUGCACAUCCUCAGGAAGAAGAUGCUUCAAAUCAUCAAAGUUUAGGAAAAAAUCACAAUCAAAGCCUGGACAAGGAAAAGUGUCGAAACCCUCUUUGAUCUUUGCCUCCAAAUACUUGCUUAUACAGUAAUCGGAACAAAAACAGUGACCACAUUCCCCAUUCUUGAUUAGUUUCUCAUUUUCUAUCAUUUCCGUGCAAAUCACACAAAAACUGAGGGAUGAUUCAGAUUCACCUAUAUUUUUCACAUAUGGUGAUGGAUUCGGCAACUCUGAAGUGAAAAGAGAAGCCUGUAGAGCUUCUUGGAGCUGCAAUUCUUCAGCCAUUGCAGCAUCCGAUAAAAGCAUGAUUCGAAACUCAUCACCUCCAUUGUUGUUAAAGAAAGCUGGGUGAUGAGCUUCAUUGUUUGCAGGAAGAAGAUCAAAGGUUUCCCUGUUCAGCAACUUCUCUGUAAUUAGUCCUUUUUGACUGAACAUUGAAUUGCUUUUUCUCUGUCCAUGUAGGCCAUUUCUGUAAUCUUUUUAAAUUAUUAUUUUGAUCGACUAAUAAAUAAAAUAAAAAAUUAUUAUUAAAAAGAAAUUUUUAAUCGCAUUGAUCAUAUUGACUUCUUUAAUCUUUAAAAAUCUUUGGCCGUAGAGUUUGUUAUUACUAUAAGUUAAAAUUUUUUUUCUAUAUCGGUAAUAUAUUAUUUUUUUCAUUUUCUUUCAAUCAUCAAGUUUCAUUUUUACGUUCCAUUUCAAUAAUUUUGUUUUUACAAUAAAUUCAACAAAAACGAGCACUUAUAAGGGGUAAUCUAUAUGUAUACACAUAAAUAUCCAAAUGCCCUUUCAUUCUUCAAUUAACGUCUCUCAUCUCUCUCUCUCUCUCUCUCAGUUUCUAGGAGUGGCAUAAGGGUAGCUUCCAUUAUUUCUCAUCAAUGCAGAAGAAGGGAAUCUGCGGUAUCUGCAACUGACGUUUCAAUGGCAGAGCCAUGGGAGGCCACAUGAAAUCUCACUCAGCUAAACAAUUGUUACCUCCAAAACUCAUUCCAACCCGCCAACAAAACCCAUCAUCCUCUUCUUCUCCUUCUAAUUAUCCUUCAAGUGAUCAAAACCCGAUGCAAAUGCAAUCCUCUCGAUCCACCAACCAAGAACUCCCUUUGAUAUCAAAACCUAAUCUUGCUAACGGUGGAGUAAGUGAGACCGAGUUGUCACCAAGGAAUGACCCAAUUCGGAAACGAUCCAAAAGGCAGCGCAUAUCCGCCGAGAAAGCAACUGAUUCGGUCGUGAAAUCCGCCCGGUCACCAAAUUAUGUAAUUUAUAUAUCUUCUUCAAACUAUGUGUAGCGGAGAAUAAUAAAACAAGUAUUAUAUGUUCAUGGAUGAAAAAGAUUCAGAUUUCCCCUUUGAAAUUUCCUUAAAUUUGAUAUAUAAAAGAUUCAUAUUUUUCCUAUGAGAUUUCCUUAAAUUUGAUAUGGAAAAAUAAUUAUCUCUCUAGAUUUUAUAAUAUUAAUUAAUUCAACCUUUUAUUUUUAUAUAUUAAAUAUUUAGUCUAUUUUAUUUUGACAUAUUAAGUAUUUAGUUUUUAACGUUUGAUUCCGUCGCAUUAAACGAUAUUUCUGUCCAAUUUGAAUAGCUUUGCCUUUAAAUGCACAAUAAAAGACUAAAAUAGUCAAAAAUUAAAGCCACCAUUCCUCUUCUUCUCCUUCAUCUCCUCAAAUCUCUAUUUCUGCUGUUAUACAAACUCAUUAAAUAAAGAAAUAUAUUAAACAACCAUUAAAUUUAUACUGUAUCUCACUUUGAGAGCGUUACAAAUCAUAAAAAAAAAAAAAUCAUUUAAAAAAUCUGCCCCUCUUCUCCAACCACUUCUUCAUUCUCCAGAACUUGUACUGUAUUUUUUUUUUUUGGUGUAUUUGUGAGCUGGACGAAGUAGUUUUCCACCAUUCAUUUCUCUAACAACAUGGACAAUAAUCGGCAGAAUACAUACAAAGUAAAGCCCUUAAUAAACCAAAAAUGCAAGACCUCAAAUUUGAAAUUAGCUUUAGAUAUCAAAACGCCUUUUUUUUUCUUACAUUAGCAGUGUCAUUUAAUACCUUAAAAUAAAGCUUUGGCCAUAGCUACAGCAAAAUAAAAUACAGGCAAAUCAAAAUCUGUUACAAUCCAACCGUCGGUCAUUGACAUAGCCAUGGCUGCUCUUCGACUAGGAGUAGUGGAAUCUCGAAGCUUCUCCAGUCCUGUCCUCGAAAUACAAAAUUAGCAGCAUCUUCUCGGUGGUGGACGGAGUAAAUAUGGGCUGUGGCGGUGAGAGAAGGAAGACAAUAGAGAAGAGGAAAAUGGGUAAGGAAUAACGUUGAAGAAUAGCGUUUGUCAUUUUAAAAUAUCUCUCUCCUCUCUCCUCUCUUUUGCCUUUUACCUUCAUUUAACAGAAAAAAGCAUUUUAUUUUGGGCACAACGGCUAGUUUAAUGUAACCAAAUCAAAUUUUAAGAACUAAAUAUUAAAUAUAUAAAAAUAUCUAAUAUAUAAAAAUACGAGAAUGAAUUAAUUAAUUUUGUAAAACCUUAAGGAAGAGAUAGUUAUUUUCUCAUUAUAUAUAUAUAGAGUAACUGUAUACCAAACCAAUUAUAAAGUUCAAAUGAGAAUAUUUUUAAUUUGAAAUUUAUUAUCUAGAAAAAAGUUUUUUAUUAAAAAUGUCACUAUUUUAUAUAUUUUUUUUCUAGUGAAUGUUAAAAUAAUAUGCUAAAAUAUUGUUUAGAAUUAAUUUGGUAUAUAAAUGGGUACAUAUAUUGGAUGCGAGUAAAUCUACCAAUUAUAAAUCAUGCACAAAAAAAAAUAAUAAAACAUUAAUAUUAUUUCAAAAUAUAAUUAUUCAUAAUUAUUUUUAAAUAUAAUUAUUCAUUAUUUUUUUCUAGUGAAUGUUAAAAUAAUAUGCUAAAAUAUUGUUUAGAAUUAAUUUGGUAUAUAAAUGGGUACAUAUAUUGGAUGCGAGUAAAUCUACCAAUUAUAAAUCAUGCACAAAAAAAAAAUAAUAAAACAUUAAUAUUAUUUCAAAAUAUAAUUUUACCCUAACAUAAAGUUUUCUAUUUGAGAAGCUAUUAAUUUUGGUUGGUCUUUUUAAUAAGAAAUUUUGGUUAAGCACGUGGUAGUUAUACGAAUUAGAAUCAAGGAAAAGGAAAGGUCAUGGAGAAAAAAAAAAAACCCAAAAAACAAGAAAAAAAAAUAAUGAGAAAGUCGUUUCCAUUUUCCAAUGGGGAAUGACUCCUUCCAAGCGAAGUCACCUUACAAAUCCAUGGUCUCAUCCUUUUUUUUCUCAUCUUUUAUCAAUCCAUUGUCUAGUUCUCUGCAAUGGCAAAAGAAACUCUCUCUAACGCCCAAUACGCUGAGGAAGUACUAUUCCAGGAGGAAUCAAUGGGCUCGGUGAUAAUUUCUCAGGUGAAAAACAAAAUUCCAUCAUCAAUUCCCAUGAUUGAACCAUCUCCAGAGCCAAACCCUAAAGAAACCGGCGAAUCUUCACUCAUUUUCUGCGAAAUUUGUGUAGAAAGAAAAGAAAUCGACCAAAUGUUCAAAAUCGAUAGCUGUGCUCACUCUUUUUGCUGCGAAUGUAUGAGCAAACAUGUAGCUGCAAAAAUUCAAGAUAGUACUUGUACUAUUAUUACUUGUCCAGGAAUGAAUUGCCGAGCAAUUCUCGAACUUGACAUUUGCAGAUCUCAGCUUUCCAAGGGAGUAAUUGAUAUCUGGGAGGAAAUGCUAUGCAAGGAGAUGAUAAGCGAAUGGGAGAAGUUUUAUUGUCCUUUUAAGGAUUGUUCUGCACUUUUGGUGAAUGAUUGUGAUUGUGGAGGAGAAGCUAUUAGAGAGUCUGAGUGUCCGUUUUGCCAUAGAUUGUUCUGCGCUCAGUGUUAUGUGCCUUGGCAUUCUGGAGUUGAGUGUGAAGAGUUUCAGAGGUUGAAUGAGGAUGAAAGAGGAAGGGAAGAUUUGAUGGUGAUGGAACUUGCUAGAGCUCAGAAAUGGAGUAGAUGUCCUCGCUGUAAAUUUUAUGUUGAAAGAACGGAAGGUUGCCCACAUAUAACAUGCAGGUUAGUAUACUACUGAUUCCACAGUCAGUUUUUACACUUACUGUGUUUAAUAAUAAUAUUAAUAGAAAGCUUCACAAAAAAAAAAAAAAAAAGAAAAAUUGAAGGGACAUUUUGGGUUAUUGGAAAUUUAAAAUGUAAGUGUAUUUAAUUUGAUAUUUCACUUCAAACAAAAUGUACUUAAAUGUACAGUCUUACCCAUUUAUUUAAAUGUACUUCAUACUAUCUUUUUUUUUGGCAUUGUAUAAAUUCUUUUUUUAAUUUAAAUAUUCUUUAGGUGCAGAAUGUAAAAUAUACAUAAAGCAUAGAGCUUUUUUAUAAAUUUGUCAAUUUAGAAGAUUUUGGCUUGGCUCCCUUCCUCACAAGCUGCAUCCAAGUUUCUUACACUAUGUUUGGAUUCACGAAAAACAUAGGAAAAUAGUAUAAUUUUUUUUUCUUUCACUUAUUUGGAAAUGAAGAAAUUAUAAAAGGAAGAAAAAUAUGAGAGCAAAAUAAAUUAUAGCAUUCACAUGCUAUUUUCUCUUCAAUUUGAAAGGAAAAUAAUUAAACAUCAAGAAAAUUUUUUUUUUUAUUUUUGAUUUUCUUUCCUUGAAUUGCUUUCCAAACAGACUCUAAUCUUGGUUAUGUUUGUACAAUUGCAGGUGUAAGUUCGAGUUUUGCUAUGGAUGUGGAUCGCAGUGGACAGCAAGUCACAGUGGCUGUCAGAGAAAUUAGUUAUUGGAUAAUUGAAGUAUGAGAGAAAUUAUUUAUUAUAUAUACAUACGAUUUAAAAUGUAUGAAAUGAAACCUCUAGGUAGACGUUUCCUCGUGUGGCAAAUUUUAUGUUAAUUUUUUUUGAAAACUUAAAUUUUAUGUUAAUUUUAUUUAUUAUAUAACAGUAAGAACGUAAACAAUAAUAUUCAAAAGUUAUAAAACUCAUAAAAUAAUAUUAAAAGCUAUUAUUUUUAAAUUCAUAAAUCAUAAUAAAAAAGAAAGCAAAAAAUCAUUGUAUUUAAAAUGGCUUUUGUGUUUAUAGGUAAUGUUUAAAGAGCUAUUGUGGCUAAAAUUCAUAAAAACCAUAAGAAAAUAGAAAGAGCUGAAGUUAGAGAGUAAUUUUUUUAAAAAGUUAUUAUUUUUCAAAUUCAUAAAUUAGAGAGAGGCGAGGGAGGCAUAAUUUUUCUACGAAAAUCUUUAAUUUUUUCUAGUUAAGCUAAUACCAAAUACUCAAAUUUUAGAAGUUUCAGUCUUUAAAUAGAGUGUCAUGAUGACAUCGAAUAGAUUUCUAUGAUUCUCCUUUAUAAUGAUUUGAUUAUAAUUGACAGUAAUAAAAUUUAUAAACAAGAAUUGUAUUUGAUUAAGAGAACUUGAGAGAUUGUAAUGCAUUCUUGUUUGAGUUUAGGUACAAAUAUUUAUAACAUUUAUGGCUAUUUUAAAUAAGAGAUAAAAUGAAUGAACCUUUGACCGAACAUUACUUAUUUUAUAAUGGUCAAGUAACGCUCGAUCAAUUCUCCAAUGAUGUUGCUAUGAAUAAUGAUAAGGAUAGUUAGAUUAUUUAUAAUAUACAUUUAUAAUACUAAAUAUAUAAUAGUAUUAAAAAAUAAAUAUAUCUCUUUUUAUUUAUUAUGUAGCUAAAUGAACUGAAAUAACAUUAUGGUUACGCCAAGAGAAAUAUUAUUUUUUUUUAAAAAAAAUAAUAUUCACAAAUUAUGAUAAUUUUUAUGUUGGAAAAGGCUCCAAUUUUUUAUGAAAAGAUAAAGUGAAUUUACUAUGAUCAUGCUCCAUUACAAUUAUCACCAUUCCAAGUAAUGAUUCUCAUAAAUUUCUUAUUUGUUGAUAUGUUACUGAUUAUUUUGUUUAAAUUGGGAAAUUUACUAAUAAAUUAAAUUUGUUCUCUUCUGCAAAAUAUAUAUAUAUAUAUAUAUAUAUAUAUAUAUAUAUAUAUAUAUAUAUAUAUAUAUAAGAUANNNNNNNNNNNNNNNNNNNNNNNNNNNNNNNNNNNNNNNNNNNNNNNNNNNNNNNNNNNNNNNNNNNNNNNNNNNNNNNNNNNNNNNNNNNNNNNNNNNNNNNNNNNNNNNNNNNNNNNNNNNNNNNNNNNNNNNNNNNNNNNNNNNNNNNNNNNNNNNNNNNNNNNNNNNNNNNNNNNNNNUAUAUAUAUAUAUAUAUAUAUAUAUAUAUAUAUAUAUGAUAAAUUGUGAACAAAGUAGUUUAUCCACAACUUAACUUAGAAGUUGCUAAUUAGUUCAUAAAUUUUCAUUGCUGGACAACUUCUUAUAUUUUUCCCUCAGCCAAGACUUAGGAGUAGGUCUGUCUUUAUUUUUCCUUUAUAUAGAUUCCCCCUUUUAUAAUGAAGCUUCAUAUCUAAGCUAAUUAAUGACAAUGAUUAUGCAUAAUUUAACUUUGUACUUAUAUUAUGAAUGUGUUCGAGAAUAACUUUUUAAGUAGCUUUUAAUCAAAAUGCUAAACGCUACUUAAAAAGUUAUUAGGUGACGUAGCGUUUAGAUUAGUUUUUAGAGAUUAUGAUAACGUUUUGUGAAAAGUUAAUUCACGUAACAGCUAACAACUACCAAAAUAGCUAAUUUUAUGAAACAGACUAUAUACAUAGGAUAAAAUUUUCCAAUAAAAAUUAGUGAAAUUUGUCAAAAAAAUGGAACAGAAAUUUAAAUUCAGCUGGAUAUAAUUACAAUUCACCAUUUAACGAGUCAAAAAAGAAUUGCUUGAACAUUAAUUAAGUUUCCAAUUUUCCAACGGAUAAGUAUUUUAUUUCUAGAAAAAUCCUCUUUUCCAAUUUUAAAAAUAUUGUUAUCCAAAAUCAUUCCCAAGACAAAUACAUUAACUAAAAUUUAUUUGCAACACAAAUCAAUAUAUUUUCAAUGUAGGCUGGCUUGCCUUCAAAUGGACUUAUGAUGUAGUAAUAGGCAAUGUACUGCCUUGUACGUAUGUUUGUCUAGUGACAAGUGACAAUAUUGAAUCCCUCUUUGAUCUUUGCCUCUAAAUUCUUGCUUAGGCAAUAAGCCAAGCAAAAUGAGUGACCACAUUUCCCAUUCUUGAGAACCUUAUCUUUUUCUUUCCCUUCUUUGCAAAUUUCACAAGAACUAAUAGAUGAUUCACCUCUUUGUACUUUGAUCUCUUGAAGUGAUGGUAUUUGACAAGUGAGCAAAGAGGCCUUUAGACUGUCUUGAAACUGCAAUUCUUCUGCCAUUGCCGCAUCAGAUAGUACCCAAAGCUCUUUUUUUUUUUCAUUUUCCAUCAACAAAUUAUGAGAAGUGGAUAUCUUAUUUAGAGGAAGAAGAUUAAAGGAUUCAGGAGGUAUUGCCAUUCUGCAGAAGUUUUUUGCCGGUUCUUUUAUGCUUCGCUGUCUCUAUAAAUGAAGUAGCUUAUUAUAUAGUAACAGCUUCCAUUUAAAUUGCUUACCAAGAACUUGACUUGGAAGUUAGCUUCUUUAAGGGGAUAAACUUAUUUCUAUGGCUUUUCCACAGUCACUGUAGUGGAGUGUAGGGUCAUGUGUUUGUUUGACCUUUUGCAUCUGUUACCUUUUUAUGAAGGACCUUAACAUAUGGGGGAAUAACUGUUUAUAUGAUUUGGGGACAAGAAUUACUUUCUCCUUUUUUAUUGAUUCAUGCUGAUGAAUUUUGUUUUAUUUUAUAUAUUAUACUAUAGAUUUUUAUACUGUUCCAUUACGUUGUCAUUUUUAGCCUGUAACAAGAGAUUGAAUUGGAUUUCUUUCUGUGUCUUUUCCUUGUCCUUGUCCAUCAAGAGACAAGGAAAAAUUUUUAUUUGACAGCAAAAUUUGUUCCCUUUGUCAUUCUAAAUGAUUUUUAAGUUUUGUUUUAACAAAUGUUGGGUUGCUUUCUUCAAUCCAACUCAGAUGAUAACAACUUCUAGUAGUCCAACUCUGAUAAAUUCAAAGUUUCUGUACACAUGAAAAUAUUUUCAGGAAACCCUAUUUAUAAAGCGUAGAUAUAGUUGUUAUCAUUCACCAGCUUGCUAUUGCUAACAGUCUAAUUUACUGGAUAGGCAGUCAAGUCUUCAAGUUAAUAAAUUUUAUUUAUUUUUUAUUCCUGGUCUCAUUCAAAAGCUAAAAAUCUAUUUGCCAAAGAAAUCGGAGAGUGUGAUUUAUGAUAACAUUCAAAUAGUUGAUGUUUAAUCACAAGUACAAUUCGGGAUAAAUUUUUGUUUUCAAUACAUAUUAGGAUCAGUGAUCAAUAGUUGCUCCAUUCCUUUCACAAAAAUGUAGACUCACUUGCAGAAUGUGAAAGGGGGAGGAGAGAAUUAUGCUCUGGGGCUACCUAAUAAUUCUCAUUAGUAUGGGGAUUGAAGCACCAAGAACUGGGAUGGCAAGAUCUUUCCAUGACAUCUCAAAAUACAUGGACCGAUGAUCGCUGACUCCCGGCUUUUCCCGGGGUCUCCCAGCAAAUUCUGAACUUGCACUUGCUCUUUCCCUUGCAAUUUCAGGUUUCUUAAUCUCUUCUCGUUCUCGCAACCUAGGAAUCUCUGCUACUUCUUGUGUUUCAUUUUCAAUGUCUUGAAUGUUUACUAACUCUUGCUCUUGCCCACUCUUUAUCUUGUCAAAAUCUCCAUCUUUGUCAUUUCCUGAUUCAAGAUUUCUGAUUUUGUCCUUGUAAAAUUGCUCUUGAAAUUGCAUCUAAGAAAAGGCAUUAAUAAAAUCAGUCAUGACAUAUAAUUAAUAUACCGCUUAAUUUCGUCCGUGGUUAGGUAACAGACAAGUACUGCAUUGUCUUCUAAAAUUCACCUAUAUUUAAGAGAGAAGAAAAGGGGGGGGGGGGGGGGAGGAGGGGAACAGAAAAUGUAACCUCUUUCUUCAGAUUGGCCUUACUUCUCAAAAUAUCCAUAUCCCUGGUUACCAUUUGCAGCUUCUCCUUAUACAUAGUAUUAGAUUCUUCAAGAACUUCCACAUGCCUUUGCCGCUCAGCAACUCUGUUCUUCAACCAGAGAAGCUGAUAGUUGUCUUCACUCAUUUGCCUAAUUCGGUUUACCACCAUUUCUUGGAAUGAUCUCAUUUCAUAUUUCAGCUUAGGCUUACCUAAUUGCAUAAUUUACCAAUAGAAUUAUUCUGUAAAGUUGCAUUUCAAAUAUAUAUUUUUAUAUGCAUACCUUUAAAGCUAUCCACAUCUUCUUUCAAUGCCAUGAAACCAUAAAGUUGGCGCUUUCCACUGGGUAGGAAAUAGACCGGCCGAUGAGUCCAAGCAUAUCUAUCUUUCCGUUCCUCUGCAAAAUGCUUAUGCAGGCGCUCUGCCUCUAAAUNNNNNNNNNNNNNNNNNNNNNNNNNNNNNNNNNNNNNNNNNNNNNNNNNNNNNNNNNNNNNNNNNNNNNNNNNNNNNNNNNNNNNNNNNNNNNNNNNNNNNNNNNNNNNNNNNNNNNNNNNNNNNNNNNNNNNNNNNNNNNNNNNNNNNNNNNNNNNNNNNNNNNNNNNNNNNNNNNNNNNNNNNNNNNNNNNNNNNNNNNNNNNNNNNNNNNNNNNNNNNNNNNNNNNNNNNNNNNNNNNNNNNNNNNNNNNNNNNNNNNNNNNNNNNNNNNNNNNNNNNNNNNNNNNNNNNNNNNNNNNNNNNNNNNNNNNNNNNNNNNNNNNNNNNNNNNNNNNNNNNNNNNNNNNNNNNNNNNNNNNNNNNNNNNNNNNNNNNNNNNNNNNNNNNNNNNNNNNNNNNNNNNNNNNNNNNNNNNCAAAAGCUGUUUGCAUAUUCAGUCUCGGUCUCAUAAAUGGGCUGUCUGAAAAUCGUGGAACCGUGUUCUUGAUAAACUUGUAGGUUGAUUUGGGCCUGCCAUUUCCUCUGCCGGUUGACAAUGUAGACCGAGCAUUACCUCUCUGUUUUCGAGCUGCGUCUUUAUAGUUCCUUUGAGAAACCACACACUUGCUAUCACCUUGUGCAGAUUUAUCAGUGUAGGUUGCACUGUGAUUGAACUGCUCAGUUCUUACAUCCUGUGAUGGAUUGUCACUGGUGCUAGCAGUGAAAGGACUUUCACUGCCAUAUUCUGUACUCUCCCUGGCACAUAAAUCUUUCCU